rnacentral:rRNA from 1 species
GAUGAACGCUGGCGGCGUGCCUAAUACAUGCAAGUCGAGCGAAUGGAUUAAGAGCUUGCUCUCAUGAAGUUAGCGGCGGACGUGUGAGUAACACGUGGGUAACCUGCCCAUAAGACUGGGAUAACUCCGGGAAACCGGGGCUAAUACCGGAUAACAUUUUGAACCGCAUGGUUCGAAAUUGAAAGGCGGCUUCGGCUGUCACUUACGGAUGGACCCGCGUCGCAUUAGCUAGUUGGUGAGGUAACGGCUCACCAAGGCAACGAUGCGUAGCCGACCUGAGAGGGUGAUCGGACACACUGGGACUGAGACACGGCCCAGACUCCUACGGGAGGCAGCAGUAGGGAAUCUUCCGCAAUGGACGAAAGUCUGACGGAGCAACGCCGCGUGAGUGAUGAAGGCUUUCGGGUCGUAAAACUCUGUUGUUAGGGAAGAACAAGUGCUAGUUGAAUAAGCUGGCACCUUGACGGUACCUAACCAGAAAGCCACGGCUAACUACGUGCCAGCCGCCGCGGUAA